AGCAGCCGCGGUAAUUCCAGCUCCAAUAGCGUAUAUUAAAGUUGUUGCAGUUAAAAAGCUCGUAGUUGAACUUCGGGGUUUACCCAUUGGUCAGGCUUAAUUGUCUGUACUGGUGAGAUAAAUCUCUACCUUCUGAGGAACUUUCAUGUCAUUAAUUUGGUGUGAUUGGAAAUCAGGACUGUUACUUUGAAAAAAUUAGAGUGUUUAAAGCAGGCUAACGUCUGAAUACAUUAGCAUGGAAUAAUGGAAUAGGACGGACUGAUUCUAUUUCGUUGGUUUCUAGGAUCACCGUAAUGAUUAAUAGGGAUAGUUGGGGGCAUUAGUAUUCAAUUGUCAGAGGUGAAAUUCUUGGAUUUAUUGAAGACUAACUACUGCGAAAGCAUUUGCCAAGGAUGUUUUCAUUAAUCAAGAACGAAAGUUAGGGGAUCGAAGACGAUCAGAUACCGUCGUAGUCUUAACCAUAAACUAUGCCGACUAGGGAUCGGACGAAGUUAAUUUUCAUAAUGACGCGUUCGGCACC
rnacentral:rRNA from 1 species